GCGCUGCAUUAGCUAGUUGGUAAGGUAACGGCUUACCAAGGCAACGAUGCAUAGCCGACCUGAGAGGGUGAUCGGCCACACUGGAACUGAGACACGGUCCAGACUCCUACGGGAGGCAGCAGUAGGGAAUCUUCCGCAAUGGGCGAAAGCCUGACGGAGCAACGCCGCGUGAGUGAUGAAGGUCUUCGGAUCGUAAAACUCUGUUAUUAGGGAAGAACAUAUGUGUAAGUAACUGUGCACAUCUUGACGGUACCUAAUCAGAAAGCCACGGCUAACUACGUGCCAGCAGCCGCGGUAAUACGUAGGUGGCAAGCGUUAUCCGGAAUUAUUGGGCGUAAAGCGCGCGUAGGCGGUUUUUUAAGUCUGAUGUGAAAGCCCACGGCUCAACCGUGGAGGGUCAUUGGAAACUGG
rnacentral:rRNA from 1 species